GCCCCAAAGCCCCCAGCCCUUCACACCGGCGCAGCCCCGCUCCCGCCAAGCCAGGUGCCGCCUGGGGAAACCAACCGCCGCCUACAGCCAGUGUAGAGCCUGGGCAGCGAGCGCCCCCGGCCCUGCGCCCCGCAGUGAGCUAUUUGGAUGUAUAGGGUGACACAGUCUAUGCCCUGAAGACCUUGAAAAUCUAUGAAGACAGCGGGUAGCAGCAUGCGAUACAGAAUACAAACCCCUGUUGAGGUUGCCAAGGCCUUGGGGAUGAGAGUGGCCAGAACUGCUUCCUUGUCGACUGAGGUGUAUGGAAACCCAGCAAGUGGAAGGUGGCCUGUGUGUCCUUUAGCCCAAACAGCCUGACAUCUGUCCAACCUCAUCGAACAGGAGGUCCUAGAUUUAGGACUGCAUCUCCCAGGACAGGCCCCCAGCCAAGAACUGCACCUCAUGACCACUGCUGAAGCGACCACCCUGGCCGCCGAAUCAGCUACGUCCCACACCAUUUGGAGGGACCCACUGUAAUACCACUGUAUUACCCUCCUCAAUAAGGGUAAUAAGGGCCCUGAAUUCUUGGUCUGAGUCUUGGGGUAGGGAGUCCCAUAAGUUAAAGUUAUAUGUCCCGAAAAGAGCCUGGUGGUUUGUGACCCUGAACUGAACACUGGCCGAGGAAUAAAUUUUCUUUCAAAAAAUCCUCUUGGCCUCUUUGUUUUUGGGGGUACACUGGAUUGCCCAUCUGUCUUUCUCGUUGGCUGCAGAAAUGACCAACGACCCCAGGGGAGAGUGGGUGUACAAGUAUUCAAACCCAUUGGCUGGGACAAAAUACUUCUUUUCAGCCUUCUUGGAGGUGGGAGAGAUUGCAGACGGGGUUUGCCAGAGGGCUUUGGCAAUCUUUAGACCCCAUCGUACACUGGAAACAUGAUGCAUGCGGGGGUUGAUGCAGAAAGCACAUUAAACAAGGUGUCCAAUUGCUCCGCCAUCUUCUCCACCUCUAGGCCUACAUUCGUGGCCACCUUUCAGAGGAGGGCUUGGUGCUCCUUAAAAUCGUCUGGUGGGCUAGCAUGAGAGGGCCCCGCAACAGCCUCAUCUCGAGAGGAUUAGGACUUCUGGACCACUGGGGGACAGCCUGGGGCUUCAUACCCCAUGGGGGAUGAAGGUUUUGGGGUUGGCACUCACUCGUCCACCGCGGCAUCUGAUUGCACUUCAUGCACCAAUCCCAGUGCUGUCUGUUGCUUUUCUGAAGCAGUUACCGACGAUUGGUGCAAAGGAGUCAUCGGCAUAACCAGCAUAGCCCAGGUCCUCCAGGAUGGCCAAUGCGCCAGCUACUGGCUCUGCUGCCAGGACUGCAUCGCACAGGUGGACGCAGCCUCAGAUGCCCAGUCGUGCUGGUGCUGCCUCAGUGAGGGGCUGAACUCUCUCUCCAUGCCGAAGGAAUCCCCUUCCAGUGACCACGGUCGGACCAUUGACACCUGAGUCUGGUGCUAAGUGUCACCAUGGGUGAACAGUGCCUUGAAUAAGCGGAUCAGUGCCGGGAGUGGGGGGGGGAUCGGUACCGUGUUAGGGAACAUUCCCAUGGUCCAGUUGUCAGCGACCUACAUCGGGGAGACGGUUGGCGGGAGAAUGACCUAAACCGGCCAUACAGUGACCAGCAUGUCUCUCUCUGGGUGAACCUCCUCGAGAGGGUGGUUUCUGGGAGCACAGUGCCAGCGAUCUAAAGUGGAGAACUGGCUUGAUGUGGAGAUCUAGGGCGUGGUGAUUGAGUGCACUGCCUUGGCUCUGGGGUCCAGCAGUGUUCACUCUCCCUCUGGGAGGAUACUAUGGCUGGCUUGCCCUCACAGGAAGCCUUUGCCAGAGCCACUGCAACAUGCAAUGCCAGCUGCGCUAGGAGUGUCCUUUGCUCUCUAGGCACCGGGAAGGCCUGGGAAAGCAGCAGCUCCGCCAAGAGUCUGGGACCCCUACCAUACCCUGGAGACAGUGGCAGAUCCCUUGGGGGGCUAUAAGCCUCCAAAAGGGGGACAGUCUGAUGUGGUUCCAGGGUGGUCGGGCAGCCCAAACAGGGUUCUUUACCCGAUGCCCCUUGUUUUUUCUUCCUCAGUGCCAGGUCACGCUUCUUCAAUUUCUUCUCGGGCAUCAGCGAAGGGGAGAUGUGCCAGGUAGAACCGGCUGCCGGGGGUGCACUACGCAGCGAUGCCAAAGGGCUGGGAGUCUAAUCUGGCCUUGUGCUCCUUCUGUGUUCUGUGACGAAAGUUCUUACAGAUGCGACACUUUUUACAUGUGAUUCCCCCAAGCACUUCAGGCAGCUGCUGUGGGAGUCACUAACAGGCAUAGGCCUGUUACAGUCAGUGCAGGGCUUAAAACCCCGCAACCAGGGCAAAGAACCAAGAGGGCAUAGGGCUGCUGGCGCCUAAUAUACCAACACAUGAGCGAGACACUCUAGAGGGCGCCACAGCUGACCCUACAGAUACCGCUAAGGUGUGCGCACACCUAGAAUGGAAUCCACAUGAGCAAGAACUUGAAGAAGAAUGUAUAUUAUGAAUAGACUAUAUGAUGCUUGCAGUCCCUUCUAACCCUACGGUUCUAUGAUCACAAACAACUUUACAUUACGUUUACUUAAUGAUAGAUUCAACUGUUGAUCAAAUGUUUUUAAGGCUUAAAGAUCCCCUUUCACAAGCCAGCUGUUUAAAGGGAUGCUAUCUGAAUUGGCAAUCAUCAGCUCGAUUGAACUGCAAAACAUAUUUUGACUUACAGAUGUGUUUGUAAAAUGUGGCAUUAGAAACAAAUUUUAAAUUACAGGAAGAGUGUCUUUAUAGCUCUUAAGAGUAAUAUUUACAAUUCUGUAAGCUGCUCCAUCUCAAAGUACAUGAAAAGUCGCAAAAGCAAGCACACAGCAUAAAUGAUAGCUAACUUAAUUACACUUUAUGCUAAGCUUUUACCUAUAUAGAAAAUUUACUGUACAACACAUUAUUAUACAAUACUUUUGAAAGUCAAUCAUUGUUAUAUGAAAAAACUUUUUGUUCUGCAAAACAGAUAUAAAAAUUCAAACAUCAAUAAAAGUUAGACAAAUAAAGAGAGUUUUAAGCUGAGACUGAAAGAGUAGAAGGUACUUUGAGCAGGUUGAAGCAGAACAGAUUUUAAGACAUGAUGGGAUAGCAUCCAGUGUAAAUCAAAGUGCCUCAUUGUAUCUUACUAGCUAAGGGGAAAUCUUGCUUGGUUAGGACCUUGAUGAGAGACAGCUAAAAGGUAUGUCUAUACAGCCAAAAAAACCCCAUGGCAGCAAAUAUCAGAGACCUGGUCAACUGACUCAGGCUCCCAAGGUUUGCACUAUAGGGCUAAAAUAGCUGGAGCUUGGACUUUGAGACAUUUCCCUCUUGCUGAGUUUCAGAACCCUGGCUCCAGCCUGAGCCCAAAUGUCUACAGUGCUAUUUUCAGCCCCACAGUGUGAGCUCAAAGACUCACCACCAAAGGUCUUUUUUGUUUUGUUUUUUUGUCUGUGUAGACAUGCCCUAAAUACUGGAGAAAGUCAAACUGGUAAUUCGGUUCAUGGCAUGUAUCUUUUUCUGAGUCAUGGUUGAACUUAACAACUCACCAUGAUGUUGGGGAGGACUGUUCUGGUAAAAGAUGCCAAAGAUACAUAUUGAUGCCCUAGCUAUUUGGGGUGAAAUUAAAUAUUCCAUGACACUUUUUCAAGGUGAAAUUAAAUAUUCCAUGACACUUUUUCAAGGAUAUGGGUGGUGUUAGACAUAGUAUCCCACGUAAAUUUAAAAUUGAGUAAUUACACUGAAUCUGACUGAAUACUCUUGUACAGUUGAAUAAUGUAUUCUUUCCUUGUCUUAAAACAGCUAUGCCGUAUUAUUGGUGCACUUACGGUUACAGCAUUGCUCUCAAAUAGUGACUGCAUUUUGUUGGUGGAUGAAGUGAAAGUUUUGCAUAUAUGAGGUGUCUUUAGAAUAUGGUAUCAUGAUAAAAAUGUGUAAAAUUAUAGGUAUUGCCAUACUGGAUCAGAUCCAAGGGGCAUCUAGUCCAGUAUCUUGUCUCCAACGGUGGCUAGCACCAGGCACUUCAUAGAAAAGUGCAAGAAACCUUUCAAUAAGCAGAUGUGGGAUAAUCUGUCCUCUAGUUAGUAGUCAGAGAUUAGCAUAAACCCUGAAACAUGGGAGUUUAUAUCCCUUUCCAAAAUUAUAACAUAACUAUGUAUAUAAAAUUGACAUCACAGCAGCAUAACAUAACUGUAGCAUGUUAGUAUUUAACAUUGACACAGUGUCAUGGGGAUGGAUGGCACUGCUCAUAGAUAAACUAAAUACCUCUGUGGGGUCCCUGCCCCAACAAGUUUACUAUCGAAGAGUAAUGUAUUCUUGGUAUUUCCUGUUAUUGUGUUCCUCCAGUACAGUUUUCAAGUUUAUGCUGCCACCCUGUGGCUGGAUAAAGAAAUUAACACUAUUGUUAGUGAACUACUGACGUUGAUAUUACAAAAUUCCAAGCACAGCAGUAGGGACAAUAGCAGCUUUACUUUCUUCACUCACCAACUUCAGACACCACAAUAUAUACAGGUAGUUUAUGAUUCUGAUGUUUCCAAAACAUGAUCUGCAAGCCAAGUAACUGCUGGAGAGUUGCAGGGAGGGAAUACAGAUGUAGCCAAGUCUGAGGAGAGCAUGAGAACUGUCAUAUUUAGGGCCCUACCAAAUUCACAACCAUGAAAAACACAUAACGGACCGUGAAAUCUGGUCUCCUGUGUGCUUUUACCCUACACUAUACAAAUUUCACAGGGGAGACCAGCAUUUCUCAAAUUGGGGGUCCUGACUCAAAAAGGAGUUGCCAGGGGUUACAAGGUUCUUUUAGGGGGGUCGUGGUAUUGCCACCUUUACUUCUACACUGCAUUCGGAGCUGAGUGCCCAGAGAGCAGUGGCUGUUGGCCAGGCACCCAGCUCUGCAGGCAACAGCGCAGAAGUAAGAUGGCAAUACCAUACCAUGCCAUCCUUACUUCUGCAUUGCUGCUGGCAGUGACUCUGCCUUCAGAGCUAGGCUUCCAGCCAGCAGCCACACUGCCCAGCUCUGAAGGCAGGGCUGCUGCCAGCAACAGCGCAGAAGUAAGGGCAGCAGUACUGCAACCCCCACCUACAGUAACCUUGUGACCACCCCAAAACUCCUUUUUGGGCCUACAAUUAUAACUCCAUGAAAUUUCAGAUUUAAAUAGGUGAAAUCAUGAAAUUUACCAUUUUUAAAUUCCUAUGACAGUGAAAUUGACCAAGCUGAAGAGUCCCCAUCUUUUUAAUCCCUGUUCAAUACCCCUAAUCAUUUUAUUGCCUUUCUCUGCACCUUUUCCAAUUCCAAUAUACCCUUCUAGAGAUGGGGCAACCAGAUAUGUACGCAGUAUUCAAGAGAUGGGCGUAUCAUGGAUUUAUAUAGAGGCAUUAUGAUAUUUUCUGUCUUGUUAUCUAUCCCUUUCAGCAGCUGAAUAUAAACCAAAAAGAUAGGAUGCAGCAUACCCAGAGACUUGAGAAGUAGGAAGGCAAUUUUGAAACUAAUUCAGAAAAGGUGAUUGUAGGAUGUGUGUGUCAUUUGAAUAUGGUUUACAUUAGGAACACAUGCUUACAGCAUCUUAUUCCAUGGAGGAAAAACAACAAACGUUUAUAGCUUAUCUUAAGGUAUUUAUAUUAUCAUCGUAUCUAAGUGCAUCACAGUUGUCAGUGUAUAGAAAUACAUUCCAUGUGUAGUAUGGAAUAUUAUUAUCCCCAUUUACAGAUGGGGAACUGAGACACAAAGAUUAAGACUCAGAUUUUAAAGCUAUUUAGGUGUUGCUGUGUUUAGCAUCACAAAAUCCAACUGAUUUAGAAGCCUAAAUCUCAUUUAGGAGUGAGGAUUUUGGUACUUAGGAUUCUAAAUUCCAUCAUCAAAACAGUUGUUAUACCAUUAUACAAAUGGGUAAACAUUAUGGCAAAGAGGUUGAUUGAGCAGUGCAAGCUACCAUAACAAUGAGUGAAUGAUAGAGCAAGAAAUGGACCCAUUAUCCACAAAUUGAACUAUUUUCAGGUUUAUUGUACAGGAGAAGGUUUUAUGUGCUUGCAAUGCUGUCUACCAGCUCUGUGACGCAGACAGACCAGCACAAAUCAGAGCAACAGGGCAAUUCACUUAUGUAUGUAUAUCAAACAAAUGCUAAAAGGUCAUAAUAAGUUCAAGCCAAUUCACUUGUUAGAAUAGAACAAAGGGGGGUGUUAUCGAAUUACAAUUUACUUGGCAGGUGCCUGGUAAUUACAUUUGCUUAAAUGCAUGAAAGCUAGUGAAAUGGUAAUGUUAUUGUCUACACCAAUCUGUUUCCUGUGAUUGCUAUCUUGUACUUAAUUAGAUUUAAAUUGAAAUAUGUCUUAGUGUUUAGAUGUAAAUGUACUUGAUGUGUAACACUGCAUGAAAACUAAUGAAUUGUUUCUGGCUAUCACAUUGUGUCUACAUUAUGUUUACCCAUACAAGAUUGGAGAGUUGGAAAUUUAAAUGAAGAAGGCUGCUGACUUCAAAGCAAGAGCCAUUGUUUUAUUGAAUGGGGUUCACAGCCGCAGGCUGCAUUUCCUAAUCUUCAUCAGCAAAGGAAGCACCCAUGUGGGUCAAGAGGCUUGUCAGCUUUCCUUAUGUGAGCCUGAUGUAUAAAUACUGAUUCAAUGGAAUGAUUCUGCAUCUCUGGACUGAUGAAUUCUGACAGGGUGGAAUUCUGAGUGGUUGGACCGAGAUUGCUAGAUCCAUUCUAGGUAACCCUGAGAGACUAUUGGAAACCAGCAAAUUACUACCCCUCUGCCAUCAUAUUGGACCUACAAACUUUGAUUCAUCUGUAAUGUAUUUUACCUGCUUUAGCUUUUCAAUAACUCAUUUCUUUUUCUUAACUAAUAAAUCUUUAGUUUA